UUUAUGUCAACACCGAUAUUUUGUGCGGACAUGUUGGAAUACACAGUUCCCGUUUCCCGGUCAUUUUAUCUACACCCGUAGGUUAAUCGAUCUUCCAGUUUCUUCUUAUCCAAAAUCGGCGUCUGCCUGUUGCUUGAGAGUGAUUGUAUCUAGGGUUUCAAAUCUCGAUUUCGCGUAUUCUGUUUCUUCUAUACUGUUUUUUUUAUUACAAUCACACAGAUCUUCUUCUUCGUUCACCACCAAACCUCUCUGUUGCGACACCGCCUCCGCCAAAGCCUCCGUCGGUGAGUUGCAGAUCCGUCGGUGGGUUGCUGAUGUUGCAGUACUUCCACCGCUUCUCAUCCAACCCUUCUCUUUGUUUCUUCGAAGCCACCACCUGUGUCGACGAUGAUUGAAAGCUCUUCUACGACCGACAUCAUCUAGAGAUUGAACAUCACCAACCGCUUCUCUCAAACAGCUCGAUAUUCAAUCGAAGUUUUGAGUGCAAUGCAUUGAUCUUCACAUCAAAUGGCUUCAUCAGUCGUUGAUGUUGUCACUUGAUGGAGGGGGAGCGGUUUCUUCUGGAAGCAUAUUCUUUUUUUAUUGGUGAUUAAGUUUUUCAUCCGAUUAAGGUUCGUUGCUGUGAAGCUUGAAAUUUGUUCAUUUUUAUAUAGCAACAUAUAUAAUUCUAGAUUAACAGGUCCAAAAGUUAUAUGUGCAGACCAGGUGUUUGAUAAAAUGCUUGAGAGAAGAAAGAGCAUGUUAAAUGUUACCGUUCUUCUAUUAUGUAAAUUGUUCACCUUAUAAAACUAUAUUAAAAUAGAAUCUUUUGGGUACCCUGUGAAAAAUUUAAGUGGGUGAAUUCUUGGAUAUGCCUAUCCUGACUGGAUCACUCUAUGAAAUUAAUAACCUUGAAUUCAUCAUAAUGAUCAAAUGUUUGACCAUGAAGGUAAAGAAUUGAAUAUAGAACCCUUUGGUUAUAGGUGGAUGUCAACGAGGCUUCCACAUACAUUGUUAUUCAGGUCAAACAUGAGCUUUUCCAUUUUUCUUUUCUUUCAAACUCCAACUCCAGUGAAAAAUUACAUUACCAUAGAGUAAGAAGUGACUUAAAGCCUUUGAAAGAUAAAGGUACAUGGAUGUAGUUAUGUUAUGAUACUUAACUAUUUCAAAAUACAGAGUAAUUAAUGUUUUGGGCUGCAUCAGCAACCUCCACGUGUAUUGCAAGAACUUUCAUGGAUGAAAUUGCUUACAGAGUACAAUCAUUGCUUUAUUGGAUAUUUGGAACGAGGAUUGUUUUGUAUGUCAAUGAUAUUGCUAUGAUUAGGCUGGCAUGCAUAUCUAUUCAACAGCAUCAGCUAAAGGGAAACGUCUUCAAGUAUCUUUUUCUAUGAUGAUAAUUGAUAAAAUAAAUCUUUGUUUACAAAAAAACUAAUUAUACUUUCAAUGUAGUCAAAUAUGGGAGCUAAAAAUCAUGGAAUUGUGAUGCCUGAUGCAAACAUUGUUGUUGUUUUAAAUGCAUUAGUAGCUGCUGGAUUUGGAGCUGCAGGACAAAGGUGUAUGGCUUUAAGAAAUGUAAUCUUUGUUGGAGAUGCAACACGAUGUUGAAGAAGAACAAAAAGAGAACCUGUACUCAGAUCACACAGUAAGGAGUGCUUAAGUGGCAUGCCAUUUUCAUCGUCCAUCACUAUGGCAGCAAAGGAAAUCAGUCUACUCAGAGAGUUCUCAAGUGGGCAACAGGCGACUGAAAGCUUCAAAUCGAAAUCCCUUCGUGGAACGAAACCCUACGAAGCGUUGUGAUUAUGGAGACAGAGGAGGAAGCAUCUGGACAGAUGACGGACGAGAUCUACACGAACGACUUUGACGAUGAGUCGCUGUCGCAGCAGCAACAACGUAGACUGAUUAUCAGUGGCGAGCAAUUCGAUAUCGACGCGUACGCCGCCUUAUACAUAGGCCGUACUAAAAUUCCGCGCUUGAUAUUCAUCGCCGACAAAUGUGGCAAUGUUUCGAUGCAGUUAGAGCCGCUUCGAAUGGCUUAUGACGAGAUUAAGAAGGGAGAAAACACACAGUUGUUUAGGGAAGUUGUUCAGAAAAUCGAUGGACGAUUGAGUCCGAAUUACAGUUCGGAUUCGGGUUAGAUGGACGAGGUGGACCGUAGGGCUGACCAGAGGAAGGAGAAACCUAAGAACGAGCUUAAUGCUUACAGGGGUUUUGGUACCUUUCAGUAGCGUUUCUAGGUGUUUUGGUGCUAUCUUUAUCCUCUAUAAAGGAAUAAAAAAAGGUAUUGGACUUGGUACAUUCACAAGACUGAAAUUGGUCUAGAAACCCAGGCUCUUAUAGUAAAUUUGAAAAGUUAAGUUUAGGAUCAUAGGAUUUUAUUACAUCUUAUGAUUAAAUUAGAAACAAAUGUAUGUUAAAGGUUGUUAGUGAUCGUGAUCUGUAAUUGAAAUGGCGCCUGAAUGUGAGUAAGGUUACAAAUAUCUACAAGUUCUAAAGGAAAAUAUGAUAAUUGAACAAAAUAUAAAUAAUAGUACUUACAAUAUUCUUUCUUGUAAGAGGUAGCUACCUGAAUCGAAGAUUAGGUUGAUAUAUAUACAAACAGACAAACAGUGAUCAUUUACUUUUAGGGAAUCAGUCUUCUGAGUGCUUUAUCAGAUAAUAAAUGGAGCAUUGUAUUGUUUGGAUGAUGAGGAAUCAAGUAUCCAUUGGAUGGUUUUUAGGUUUCAAUUAGAUUAAAUUACAUUACCGGUUCUCAAGUAUAAUUGAUUUUUGCAUCUUCUAUAAAAUUUGCUCUUCUAAUUUAGGUUCACAUCUGACGGUUUCAUUACAUUUUUUUCCAAGGGUAUUACUGAUUUGUAUCCUGGAAGAAGUAAUAUUGGGUGAUGCAAUUGCAAGAGAAGUGCACCUUACAAUGAAGUGGUGUAUAUUAUUUAUCGCGUCUUAAAAAUGUUUUCUGAAAUAGAAGAUACCGGGCUUCUGGAUUCCCCGGACAAGUCGUUCAUGGUUUUGCUGCUUUACAUGAACACCAAUGUUAUCUCCAAACCGGAAUAUCACGAUUACAAAGCCACAAAAACGCAUCUGUUCUCCCAUAUGGUCAAUGCUCUCGCCCGUCCGUUUACCAUUUCUUCGACAUUUGCAGGUUGUUCUACCGGGAAAAUUCUCCUGCCAACCAUUCCUUCAGGUACAAUUUAGAACGAGCUUUACAAAAUUCUCGAACCUUUCUUCAACUUUAUCUGUUUUACCCUUUCGUUCCUUCUCUUGCUUUCCAGAUUUGUUUUCAGCUUCUUUAUAAGUUUUUUUAAUUGAUUGGUUAUGUUUUUAAAUUUUCAGUAAAUUGGUUAGACUUUUAAUGGUUGGUUCCAUGUGAUGUUCAUGUGGCUUUUUCGACUUCAGUCGGUAGUAAAUGGUCAUUGUGGAUUGAUUGAGUUUCAAAUAUGGUUAUUGAGUUUUGGAUAAAUAAACACAACGAUUGGACCAUUUGUUUGUGCAAAGUCUAAUUUAGGGUAAUCUUAUCAACAACCAAUUUAGUUUUUUUUUUGUUGUUUCUUAAAUUCUUUUUAUUGAUUUGAUUAUUAUGUUUUAAGGGUUUUUGCUAUGAGCUUGACUUUGAUGCACGAAUAAUUCAACUAUUUUUUUAGAAACAAGGCUUUAAUGCAGCGUAUGUCCUAUGUUGUGUGAUUUCCGUAACUGAAGAUGUGCCGUACAGAAUCCAAUUGAUUCAAGGCAACUUUUAAAGGCACAAUAAGGUAUUAAAUUGAUCUCCUACACUAAUUGAAUCAAAGCCUUGAUAAAUGGCAAUGGAGCAAAACCAUAUUUCUGUUUCACUUUUGUUUGUAAAUCUAUUUUCUUUAUAUUUAAAAAAAUAUUUUUAUAACUUUUGUUUUUGCAUUUAGAUGACAUUUUUUAUUGUUAAUGAAAUCGAAGAAGAUGGUGGAGGGAUGGGGUAAGUAUGAAGACGUUCUUUCUGUAUUUAUUGUAGAUUGCAUUGUACUUUCAUUUAGAACUACCUGGAUAUAAGAUUGUAUUUUCAUUGUUUUCAAAAACCUAUUCAAAUAUAGCAUUGUACUUUUUUUGGUA